rnacentral:rRNA from 1 species
AUUGAACGCUGGCGGCGUGCUUAACACAUGCAAGUCGUGCGGUAACAGGCGUAGCAAUACGUGCUGACGAGCGGCGAACGGGUGCGUAAUACAUGGGAAUCUGCCUUUUAGUGGGGAAUAACCCGGCGAAAGCCGGGCUAAUGCCGCAUAAGAUCUUCGGAUGAAAGCGGGGGAUCGUAAGACCUCGCGCUGAUAGAUGAGCCCAUGCCGGAUUAGCUAGUUGGUGAGGUAACGGCUCACCAAGGCGACGAUCCGUAGCUGGUCUGAGAGGACGGCCAGCCACACUGGGACUGAGACACGGCCCAGACUCCUACGGGAGGCAGCAGUGGGGAAUAUUGGACAAUGGGGAAACCCUGAUCCAGCGACGCCGCGUGUGUGAAGAAGGCCU